rnacentral:rRNA from 1 species
GACAGAGGUGCCAAGCGUUAGGCGGAAUCACUGGGCUUAAAGCGUGUGUAGGCUGAUGCCUAAGUACCUUGUGAAAUCCCACGGCUCAACCGUGGAACUGCUUGGUAUACUGGGUGUCUUGAGCCAUCUAGGGGCUACCGGAACAAAUGGUGGAGCGGUGAAAUGCGUAGAUAUCAUUUGGAACGCCAAUGGUGAAAACAGGUAGCUGGGGAUGUGCUGACGCUGAGACACGAAAGCCAGGGGAGCAAACGGG